rnacentral:tRNA from 1 species
GUGGGGGUGGCAUAGCGACAGAGCAUAGGACUUGCAUGCCUGAGUCCUGGGUUCCAUCCCUGCCUCUGCA